GCAUGCGCGGUGAUUCAAACGCGAUGGCGGCUGGGGCGGCUCGGGGCUGAGGGGAGUGAUCGCCGCCCGGCCCCUCGCCCCCCGCCGCUGCUUCGGCACCAUGUCCUCCGUGGGCGGCGAUAUCGCAGAGGGCGGACAAACGCCUAAAGCUAAGCGGAAAGGAGGAAGAGUCGUGCAGUCUCGCUACCUUCACUUCGAUAAGAAAGACAGACAGAAAGUGCCGAGACUGCCGAGUUCAGGCGUCGCUCCGCGAAAGGCAGAAAAGGAUGCUUUGUCAAAUUCUUCUUCAUCAAAUACUUCUCUGCCACCUACUAGAACUAAAGCAAGAUCAGAUCUCUCUCAGAAACACAAAACUAAUGCUGGUGUUGACCACAGCUCAUUAAAUCAGAGUGGUUUUGAGAAGGGUGACUUGCAGUCCACUUUAUUAGAUGAAGAAAAAAUGAAGCUACCAGACCUUGAUAUUUCUGCUAUUAAUGAUAAAAGUGACCCCAAGAAGAGUUCUUGUUCAGAAUCUGCUUCAGAAGGAGAUUCAGAGAUAAAGAAAAGCAGAGUGACUGAUGAGGAAACUGCUUCUCGUGAUCUGAUGGCAGAGCUGGAAUCUGAGACACUACUUUUAACUUUCCUAAGAAUCAAGGCAGAAAAAAGGGUUGCCAAGAUGGAGGAAAAAGCUGAAAAAAAUUUAUUAAUGUUGUGUGAAGAAAAGCAGAGACAACAGGAGAAGCUCUGGGAGCUGAAACGUGAAAUUCUGCUUGAGGAGAGAGAGGAGAAGCUCAAUGAAACAUUAGACAAACAGAUAGAAGUGCUGUCUCCCCUCGUUGCUGUCUGUGAACAGUUUAAAGAGCAAUACAAAAGCUUUGCAGCUUCCCUGGAUGCUACAAGACAUGAAUUACCCAUAAAGAACAUUCACAUAGAAGGAGAUAAGCAAACCUACCUUGAUGAACUGAGAAAGCAGUUAAUGAUCACACAGGAGCUUCUGACAGACGUUAUGCCAAACCACUCAGGGGAUAGUGCAAAAGCACUGAAUGCACUGAAAGAACUUAAAGUAGUGUCUCGGGAGCUGAGUGAAGGGCUUCAAAGGAGCUUCACAGAUGUGCAGAACCUGUCGUUUGAAGCCAGUAAAGAAGUUUCUCUGCAUAACCAAUAUGUGUGUGAAGAGAAUCAUGGAGUAGAUGUUGUGAAACGCUGGUAUUUCAGCUGAGUUUCUGUAUUGUUUUACUACUGGUGGAGGCUCCGGGGUCAAGGUGAGGCAAGAUGCAUCCUGCCCGGGGUGCUCUGGGGUGGAGCUGCAGCUCUGGAAAUCAUCGAGGCUAAUGAGAACUUAUUGGAUUACUGCAGUCUUCCCUGCCUCGGAGUAAAUACCACUUUGUUGGAGAUCCGGAAAUUCAUACUGAAUAUGAUAAACAAACUGCUGGUUGGGCUGGGAUUGCCAGGACAUGAAAAGAGUUCCAGAGCAGCAGAAGAUCUAACAGCUCUGAAAUGCACCACUGAGCCACACCAAUUAAGAGCAUUUCCAGUGAUUAUGUGAGCAUUCCUGUUCAACUCACAGAAAUUAUUUUAGGUUGUUUCUUCCGCUGCAUUUGUGUGUGGUCUGCACAGCAAACACGAGGUUUGCAGAGUGGGCUCAAAUGCUUCUGAUCAGUUUCUUUUAAAAUAUUUCUAUGAUAAUGUAUAUGCAAAAACUGAGUUUCCUGCUAAUUCCAGAUCUUUAAUUUUCUAUGUUAUGGUUGCCCUUUCAGAUAUAACUAAUUUUUUAGUUUAUAUAGACAAUGUAUUUUUAGAGAUGGCCUGUAGGAUAUAAAAACUUAAUCCUUUGUUUAAUAUCUCUUACAUAUGGGAGGUGGCUCUACUGUUCAGUCAGACUAUGCACAAGUUGUAUUUCACCAGACAUGUAGGAGCUGAGAAGAGAAUUGGGAAAUUAUUUCUGACUGAACAUCUGAAUGUCAGCCCCUUCUGAUAAGCACAGUGCUCUUCCUUCUAAAUCAUUCUAAAUCCUCCAUUUGAAUGCUUUCCUACUACUAUUUCAGUCACUUUGUCAGGAAUUAAAAUGUUAUAUUACUGUGAAAGAUCAGACUCUCCUGUUCUAUAGAUGAAUAAUAACCAUUUUUGACAGAAUUAUUUAAUAAUUAUAUUCUCAAUAUCAUUAUCCUGUUACAUGCUACUUAGAUUACAGUCUUAGUUGAAAAGUGCUCUUUAAUUAUCCUUUCCUUAUAAUUUCUUCUAGAGAUGUUUGUAUUCCUGGGGAGCAGGAUCAGUCUGGCUUCUGCCACUGUCUGGACUGGUGUAGUUUCUGUUAAACCAUUUUCCUCAGUGCUGGUGAGGUGCAGGUGUGAGGCAAAGCCUGGCACACUUAUUUUGCAGUUAUCAGUUUCUGCUUUUGCUAUCUCUAUUUGGCUGUCACAGAAACAUGAAGAGAGAACAAAACUCAGAGUUAAAGAAUAGGUGUGGCAUUUUUACCAUGAAUAUAAUGCUGUAAAAAUUAACUAAGGCCUUGUUCUUGUCUGGUGGUGUGUAAUGACUGAAAUUAAUGUUUUUCCAUUGGGAAAGGGGGAGAAAUUAUUCUGGAAAUUGAUGACUUUUAUUCACCCACCUACUGAAAUCUAGUGUGUACAGGACUUAACAGAAAACUCAGUGAUUAAUAGCCUUGGGUUUAGUACAGUAUCUUUUAUGUGGACAGUUUAUACAUAUUAAAAUCUUUUAAAAAGCGA